UUGUCAUCUCUAAGCAGGGUGUUAAGUGCAUGAGUAUUCACUCCGAACAAAUGUGUGCUAGGUAUGCUUCUGGGCGCUGGAAGUAUUACAGCGUAGAAAACAGACAAAACCCCACUUUCUUGGAGCUCAAAUUGAGGAAUUCAGUUUGCUGAGUUCACAUGAGAAAUGAGAGGCAGAGGUGCAGAAGCUUUUCAAUCCGGUCAUUAGGAAGAAAAAGUUAUUUCACUGAAAGGUUAACUACCAGUGAUAUGACCCAUACCACAAAGGGAAAGAAUUUCUUGAGAAAAUUCGUAUCUGAAGAAAUAGCCCAAAUUUACUGAUACAUGGGCAGGGCAGAGGCUAAGGGAACUGCAGUCACCCACACUGGAAGUUUCACUCCUGGCUGUACCUUGGUGGCAUCUUCAGACUGUGAAAAGAGACCACCGUAAAGGUGGGGCCAGCCUGGAAGGAGGUCCAGCUUGUAGGGGCUCCCACGCUAACGUUCUUAGCUCAGAGGGAGUCAGAAGCAGAGCAGAAACUAAUUUUAGAAUUUUUUCCAUCCCCAUAUUUACUUUAUUUUCCCAUGGUAGUUAGCAAUCAGUUUCUGAAAUGAAGGACAUAUUGAGUUAACGCAUUUAUUCUAACAAUAAAUAUUUGGGAACAUACUAUCUACCAGACAUUGUGCUAAGGGCUGACAGCAAAGUCCAAGACAAAUAGUCCCUACCUCCAGCAAGUCUGUAGUCAUGCAGGACACAAACUGAGCAAUUACAAGGGAACUGAUUAUUCUGAAAGAGGAAUUAUAGGGUGCUAUGGGAACAUAUAGCCAGGGACCUAAUUAUGUGGGCAAGGGAGCAGUCCAGAUCCAACAUUUGCCCUCCCAAUUUACACCUACAGCUAAUCUAGUUUAGUGGGGUGGCCAGUGAAGAAAACGAAAAGCUGGGGACACCACCUAACUCCCUUCCCAGUCUUAAGCAAGGUGAAAGCAAGGAAAUAGAAAACACCAAGGGAAUGAGUGGUGUAGCCACCAAAGGAGAUAGCAGACUGAGUCUCCAAGAAAGAAUACCUGGCAUCAGGACCAGAGAAGGAGCACUAAGGGAGGUCAGUGGAGAGCCCUGCAUGCACUCUCCCACUGUUCUGAAAAGGAUAAAGAACAAGGAAGAAACUACACUACUGGGUUAAGACCACAUAAAACCACGCAUCCAUUCCUCUAACAUAUUCAUCAGCUUUUCAUUACCAUCACAUACUAAAAGUUCAAUCCUUCUUGGCACUUAAGAACACUGUUCUCUACAUCCUUUGCCAGCCCACAUUUUCUGGGCCCCCACCCAGGUGUACAGCCUGGCUGUUAGCAUCUCACAGAAUAAGGGGAAGGGACCAGGCCAGAUCCAGCAGUUGCCCUCCCAAUGUAUUUUCUGUGGAUUCUUUUUAACUUUGAGCUAUGCAGAUACAGACAGAGGCAGCCAGACAACAAGACCAAAUCCCUCAUUUCACCCACUCAACAAAAUGCCCCCAAAAUAUAAAGUUCCUAUACCUCGCAUGUUUCCUGAUCUCUAGAAGCCCAACUUCUGCUCACAGCUGAGCACCUGAGCACCCAGAUUUCUCUUGGUCAUGCUUUAGUAACAGCAGAUUCUACUAGGUCCCUUAGAGACCCUAAAACCACAGCUUAAGCUUUCUAAAUAAAUAAGUCCCAUUGCCACUUGUGAUUGAGGUGUUUUUGAAGUAAAGCUAGCCCAACUUUACAGCUAGCUCAACUACAGUAGCAAGUAGGGGGUGGCUUGCUUUAAGGGUAGCAGACCAGACAUGGACUUUCUUAAUAUGGCAUGGCACACAUAGGUAUCAGUAUUCAGGAGGGUUGGAACCUGCAACCAGAGAUAAGCAUCUUGUUUUCCAUUUAGGUCCUGGAGUUUAAAUUAUGUAUAAUUUCUUCCUAAAAAACAAAACA